UUAACGCUGAGGUGUGAUGACGAGGCACUACGGUGCUGAAGUAACAAAUGCCCUGCUUCCAGGAAAAGCCUCUAAGCAUCAGGUAACAUCAAAUCGUACCCCAAACCGACACAGGUGGUCAGGUAGAGAAUACCAAGGCGCUUGAGAGAACUCGGGUGAAGGAACUAGGCAAAAUGGUGCCGUAACUUCGGGAGAAGGCACGCUGAUAUGUAGGUGAAGCCCCUGCGGGUGGAGCUGAAAUCAGUCGAAGAUACCAGCUGGCUGCAACUGUUUAUUAAAAACACAGCACUGUGCAAACACGAAAGUGGACGUAUACGGUGUGACGCCUGCCCGGUGCCGGAAGGUUAAUUGAUGGGGUUAGCGGCAACGCGAAGCUCUUGAUCGAAGCCCCGGUAAACGGCGGCCGUAACUAUAACGGUCCUAAGGUAGCGAAAUUCCUUGUCGGGUAAGUUCCGACCUGCACGAAUGGCGUAAUGAUGGCCAGGCUGUCUCCACCCGAGACUCAGUGAAAUUGAACUCGCUGUGAAGAUGCAGUGUACCCGCGGCAAGACGGAAAGACCCCGUGAACCUUUACUAUAGCUUGACACUGAACACUGGUCCUUGAUGUGUAGGAUAGGUGGGAGGCUUUGAAGCGUGGACGCCAGUCUGCGUGGAGCCGCCCUUGAAAUACCACCCUUUAAUGGCUGGUGUUCUAACGUAGACCCGUAAUCCGGGUUGCGGACAGUGUCUGGUGGGUAGUUUGACUGGGGCGGUCUCCUCCCAAAGAGUAACGGAGGAGCACGAAGGUUAGCUAAUCCUGGUCGGACAUCAGGAGGUUAGUGCAAUGGCAUAAGCUAGCUUGACUGCGAGAGUGACGGCUCGAGCAGGUGCGAAAGCAGGUCAUAGUGAUCCGGUGGUUCUGAAUGGAAGGGCCAUCGCUCAACGGAUAAAAGGUACUCCGGGGAUAACAGGCUGAUACCGCCCAAGAGUUCAUAUCGACGGCGGUGUUUGGCACCUCGAUGUCGGCUCAUCACAUCCUGGGGCUGAAGUAGGUCCCAAGGGUAUGGCUGUUCGCCAUUUAAAGUGGUACGCGAGCUGGGUUUAGAACGUCGUGAGACAGUUCGGUCCCUAUCUGCCGUGGGCGCUGGAGAAUUGAGGGGGGCUGCUCCUAGUACGAGAGGACCGGAGUGGACGCAUCACUGGUGUUCGGGUUGUCAUGCCAAUGGCAUUGCCCGGUAGCUAAAUGCGGAAGAGAUAAGUGCUGAAAGCAUCUAAGCACGAAACUUGCCCCGAGAUGAGUUCUCCCUGACUCCUUGAGAGUCCUGAAGGAACGUUGAAGACUACGACGUUGAUAGGUCGGGUGUGUAAGCGCAGCGAUGCGUUGAGCUAACCGAUACUAAUGAACCGUGAGGCUUAACC
rnacentral:rRNA from 1 species